rnacentral:rRNA from 1 species
GAUGAACGCUGGCGGCGUGCCUUACACAUGCAAGUCGAACGAACACAUGACGUGCCUUGCUCUGUUGCUUGAGCGUCGCGCGGGUGUGUAUCAUGCAUAGAACCUUCCCUUAUGACUGGGAUUAACUUGGCAAACCUUACCCAAAUACGGCAUAUUCUCUGAACCGCAAAGCUCAAUAGCUUAAGACCUUUCUCUUGACGCGCAUCCGAUGCCGCAUUAGCUAGUUGGUAAGGUAAAGGCUCACCAAGGCAACGAUCCGUAGCGGGUCUGAGAGGAUGAUCGGCCACACUGGGACUGAGACACGGUCCAGACUCCUACGGGAGGCAGCAGUGGGGAAUCUUGGACAAUGGGCGCAAGCCUGACGGAGCCACGCCGCGUGAGUGAAGAAGGUCUUCGGGUCGUAAAGCUCUGUCAGCAGGGAAGAAAAAGCAUCUUAUAAUAUAGGGUGGGGAUGACGGUACCUGCACAAGAAGCACCGGCUAACUACGUG